UACGGAGGGGGCAAGCGUUGUCCGGAUUUAUUGGGCGUAAAGAGCUCGUAGGCGGCUUGUCACGUCGGGUGUGAAAGCCCGGGGCUUAACCCCGGGUCUGCAUUCGAUACGGGCUGGCUAGAGUGUGGUAGGGGAGAUCGGAAUUCCUGGUGUAGCGGUGAAAUGCGCAGAUAUCAGGAGGAACACCGGUGGCGAAGGCGGAUCUCUGGGCCAUUACUGACGCUGAGGAGCGAAAGCGUGGGGAGCGAACAGG
rnacentral:rRNA from 1 species